rnacentral:rRNA from 1 species
GAGGUCUCAAGCGUUGUUCGGAUUUAUUGGGCGUAAAGGGUGUGUAGGUGGCGCCGUAAGUCGGGGGUGAAAUUUCGGAGCUUAACUCCGAAACUGCAUUCGAUACUGCGGUGCUUGAGGACUGGAGAGGAGACUGGAAUUCAUGGUGUAGCAGUGAAAUGCGUAGAGAUCAUGAGGAAGACCAGUGGCGAAGGCGGGUCUCUGGACAGUUCCUGACGCUGAGGCACGAAGGUCAGGGGAGCAAACGGG